rnacentral:tRNA from 1 species
GGGGCUGUGGCUCAGUGGUAGAGCGCUCGCCUAGCAUGUGUGAGGCACUGGGUUCAAUCCUCAGCACCACG